rnacentral:rRNA from 1 species
CCUACGGGAGGCUGCAGUCGAGAAUUAUUCACAAUGGGGGAAACCCUGAUGGUGCGACGCCGCGUGGGGGAAUGAAGGUCUUCGGAUUGUAAACCCCUGUCAUGUGGGAGCAAAUUAAAAAGAUAGUACCACAAGAGGAAGAGACGGCUAACUCUGUGCCAGCAGCCGCGGUAAUACAGAGGUCUCAAGCGUUGUUCGGAAUCACUGGGCGUAAAGGGUGCGUAGGCUGUUUCGUAAGUCGUGUGUGAAAGGCGCGGGCUCAACCCGCGGACGGCACAUGAUACUGGGAGACUAGAGUAAUAGAGGGGGAAGCGGAAUUCGCGGUGUAGCAGUGAAAUGCGUAGAUAUCGAGAAGAACACUCGUGGCGAAGGCGGGUUCCUGGACAUUAACUGACGCUGAGGCACGAAGGCCAGGGGAGCGAAAGGGAUUAGAUACCCGAGUAGUC